UAAAUGCCCCCUCACAGGAAUCUGAUUCUCACCCCAGGAAGAAGAAGAAGGAAAAGAAGGAGGACAUUUUCCGCAGAUUUCCAGUGGCCCCACUGAUCCCUUAUCCACUCAUCACUAAGGAGGAUAUAAAUGCUAUAGAAAUGGAAGAAGACAAAAGAGACCUGAUAUCUCGAGAGAUCAGCAAAUUCAGAGACACACAUAAGAGAUCAUAUGGUGACUAAUGCAAGAUGAAACUCUCAGCUUGGAAAGUAACAAGGAAUAGGAUGUAAGUAUGAGCUUCUGUUUUUUAUUAUAUUUAUGGAUGCCCCCUCAGAAAAAUAUGCAAAGGGGUAACUGGCUUGGAAAUGGGUAUUUAUGCAUAGUAAAUCCCACUCACGAGUUUUGCCUAUUUGAAGCUUCUCUCAAUGACAGUGCAUCUGUGAAUGUUCGCUGGUGUUGAAAAUGAUGCUUUUGAACGGUGCAAUGCAAACACUGCAUGAAAUGUAUUUUGAUGGUCGAGAUAAUAAGGUGUUGCUGGUUCUUACUGAUAGACUGAGAGAUCUUUAACUCAGUGAAAUGUUAAAUGUUCAUUUUCUCUUUUAUUCUUACUUUUUCCCAUUGCUUUCAAAAUCUGCAGUUCACAAAUAAUGCCAAUGAAUCAGUGCUGCUGAACACUUACUAUCCAGAUGCCCAGCCCUUGCUCACAAACACAAUGCUUUUUCAAGAAUUAAAUGUGUCUAAGAGCACAAACAUAAUUCUCCCAAAAUUAAUUUUGAGAGUUGAAAAGGUGGUCUAUGGGAAAUCAUUUUAGAUGAAUAAUUUUGGUUAGGUAUAAUACUGAAAUUCAGGACCGAGUAAGCUUAAAAAUGGUAUAUGGUUGUGUGUGUGGUUUACCCCCUUUUUGUUUUUAUUUAUUUGU
rnacentral:lncRNA from 1 species